rnacentral:rRNA from 1 species
GACGAACGCUGGCGGCGUGCUUAACACAUGCAAGUCGAACGGAAAGGCCCUGCUUUUGUGGGGUGCUCGAGUGGCGAACGGGUGAGUAACACGUGAGUAACCUGCCCUUGACUUUGGGAUAACUUCAGGAAACUGGGGCUAAUACCGGAUAGGAGCUCCUGCUGCAUGGUGGGGGUUGGAAAGUUUCGGCGGUUGGGGAUGGACUCGCGGCUUAUCAGCUUGUUGGUGGGGUAGUGGCUUACCAAGGCUUUGACGGGUAGCCGGCCUGAGAGGGUGACCGGCCACAUUGGGACUGAGAUACGGCCCAGACUCCGACGGGAGGCAGCAGUGGGGAAUAUUGCAGAAUGGGCGGAAGCCUGAUGCAGCAACGCCGCGUGCGGGAUGAAGGCCUUCGGGUUGUAAACCGCUUUCGCCUGUGACGAAGCGUGAGUGACGGUAAUGGGUAAAGAAGCACCGGCUAACUACGUG